rnacentral:rRNA from 1 species
CCUACGGGAGGCAGCAGUGAGGAAUAUUGGUCAAUGGCCGGAAGGCUGAACCAGCCAAGCCGCGUGAAGGACGAAGGUGCCAAGCAUUGUAAACUUCUUUUGUCAAGGGACAAAAUCAGGCUCGAGAGCCUGCCCGAGGGUACUCGAAGAAAAAGCAUCGGCUAACUCCGUGCCAGCAGCCGCGGUAAUACGGAGGAUGCGAGCGUUAUCCGGAUUUAUUGGGUUUAAAGGGUGCGUAGAUGGGUUGUUAAGUCAGUUGUGAAAGUUUGCGGCUCAACCGUAAAAGUGCAAUUGAUACUGGGAGUCUUGAGUACAGUUGAGGUAGGCGGAAUUCGUGGUGUAGCGGUGAAAUGCUUAGAUAUCACGAAGAACCCCGAUUGCGAAGGCAGCUUACUAAACUGUAACUGACAUUGAUGCUCGAAAGUGUGGGUAUCAAACAGGAUUAGAUACCCUAGUAGUC